rnacentral:rRNA from 1 species
GAUGAACGCUAGCGGCAGGCCUAAUACAUGCAAGUCGGACGGGAUUCAGGAGCUUGCUUCUGAUGAGAGUGGCGCACGGGUGCGUAACACGUAUGUAACCUACCUUUAUCAGGGGGAUAGCCUCUCGAAAGAGAGAUUAAGCCCGCAUAAAAUCACAGCACAGCAUUGUGUAAUGAUCAAAUAUUUAUAGGAUAAAGAUGGGCAUGCGGAACAUUAGCUAGAUGGCGGGGUGACGGCCCACCAUGGCGACGAUGUUUAGGGGAUCUGAGAGGAUGGCCCCCCACACUGGUACUGAGACACGGACCAGACUCCUACGGGAGGCAGCAGUAAGGAAUAUUGGUCAAUGGGCGGAAGCCUGAACCAGCCAUGCCGCGUGCAGGAAGACGGCCCUACGGGUUGUAAACUGCUUUUAUACGGGAAUAAACCCAGAUACGUGUAUCUGGCUGAAUGUACUGUAAGAAUAAGGAUCGGCUAACUCCGU